ensembl:lincRNA
GGAAAAAGGGGAAGUGGGGUUCACCUUGCGAGGAAAUGCUCCAGUUCAGGUCUACUUCCUGGAUCCUUCCUGCUCUGCUGCGGUAAGCCUGCUGCUGUCUGGAUGGGAGAGAGCCCACCAGCAGCUUUACACAGAAUCGGGCCGGGAAGAUAGAAAGCAAGCAGCUCAGAUGCAUACAUCUAGGUGAUGGAAUUCGGGGUUCAUGGAUGUCAAAGGUCUGACUUGAUAUGAAAGGCCUCUUGGGUGCUACAUGCCCAAAGAGAACUGUGAAUGAAAUUUUGCUCUCUCAAAGCAAAGUUAUGCUAAAGUUAUACUUUGUUCAUGAAUCUGGGGACUGAAUCAGGUAUUUAAAUGAACAGAACAAAACACUGACCUUUUCUAAACAAUACUUUUGUAGCUGGCAGGAGCCAGGGAAGGAGAUUAUAUUGUUUCCAUUCAAGGCGUUGAUUGCAAGUGGCUGACGGUGAGCGAGGUUAUAAAACUGCUGAAAAGCUUUGGUGAGGAGGAGAUUGAGAUGAAGGUGGUGAGCCUCCUGGACUCUGCAUCCUCCAUGCAUAAUAAGAGUGCCACGUACUCUGUGGGAAUGCAGAAAACUUACUCCAUGAUCUGCUUAGCCAUAGACGAUGAUGAUAAAAGUGACAAAACCAAGAAAGUCUCGAAAAAGCUUUCCUUUUUGAGUUGGGGCACCAAUAAGAACAGACAGAAGUCGGCCAGCACCUUGUGCCUCCCUGCAGUUGGGGUGGCAAGACCUCACAUCAAGAAGAAGAUCCCCACUCCUUUCAGCCUGCUCAACACUGAUAGCUCUUUAUACUAAUGGGAGGAAACAGAAAUGUUCAGGCCCCAAAUGUUUCUAGGGCUAACUAGGCCUUAAAAUUUGUGCCAUAUGGAAAAUAUCCAGAUAUUGUCAAAUCCCAUUUUGACACAGCGUAAACUUGUAUUUGACAUGCUUUUAAGAAAGUAACAAGAAACCUCUAGAAAUUCGUGGAAAAUAUGCUUAUUUGAGGAAUGUCACUAUAUUGCUGCAAGAUAUUUAUUCUAUAAAAUAUUGUAAAUAGAAUAGUAUGGAUAUUAUGGCUGUUUUCAGUGGUUACAGUUAUAAAUUUCAGGCGCUGAGUUAAAUUGGGGUUUCCUAUAAAAAUAGAACUAUUUGCAAGUGUUAAAGUUUGGAUAAUAAUCAUUCCUUAACCUAGAGUUCAGAGGACCCUUGAGUUAAGGCAGGUUGGAGGACUAUGACAGAAUGAAAUUUGUUACUAGAAACAGCUCCAAAGAACUGCUUCCUCAUGGGAACUUACUAAUGUGAUAAGAUUUUACUAUUAUUUCUACAUAAUAUGAAUGCUAUUUCCAGAUAAAGUCUAGUGCCAAAUUUGUUUUGACUUUUUUUUUGGCAGUCCUGGGGAUUGAACCCAACUCAGAGCCCUGGGUUAGCCCAGAACUGCCAAAAAUAAAACAUAAAAUAAAAUAAAAAUAAUUUAGGAGCACCUUUUCCUCUAGUCCGAUGCCAUUUAUAAGUUGCUAACACAGUGGCAGUGUUAGAUGGAGAUGCUGUCUACAGGGUAGAUAAUAUACUGUUUGAUACUCAAAACUUUAUUUUUCAUUUUGUUUAAAGUAGAAAGUACAUAACUAUAUAUUUUUAGAGUCUUGGGUAAAAAAGUAGUUUUUAUAUUUUGUAAGGUAAAGAUGUAAAUGAUUCAGGUUUAAAGUUCUAUUUGACUUUUUAAAUGAACAUUCUUACCAAUCUGAUUUCUCUGGCUGCAAGUUGGAUGACACUGUGACUCUAAUUAAAGAUUCAUGGUUGACAUACAAAUGACAUAGCUUUUAAAGUAUAGCUGAAAUCUAAUGUGAGGAUUAACAAGUAUUUUCUAUUGUGCAAUAUCUUUAGGGAAGCAACCACCUUUGGGAAAGUAUAUCUACUGCUAUUAGGGCCAUGUUUGUAUAAAUAUUUAAAUAAACACCUUCAUUUACCUGAGUUUUUUUUUUUUUUUGCUUUUAUUUUACUUUAAUUCCUUCUUUCAAGUUUUCAUUAACCUCAUACACAAAUUUUUUUUUAAUUUCUAUUAGUUAUCGAUAGACCUUUAUUUAUUUAUAUGUAGUGCUGAGAAUUGAACCCAGUGAUUCACACAUGCUAGGCAAGCACGCCACCAUUGAGCCACAACCCCAGCCCAUGUGUUUGAUUUUUAAAAAUUACUAACGAUUCAUAAAACUGGUUAUUUUAAUAACUUUUAAAACAUAUGUUCUUAAUUGUGUUUUCAAUGGUUGUUAUACCUUUUGCUCCCCAGACCUGACUCUCCUCAUUGGAUGCAGCUGCUUCUGUUUUCUUGUGUAUCCCCCCACUGUUGGGCAUUCAUCUACAAACACAUUCUUUUCUUACUUAUAUACAUUAACUUCUCAUCUAUAAAUGGGGAAUUUCACACUCUAGGCUUCCUGUGUUCAGAACACUUGUCCAGUGAUUAUAAACUGGCCAUCCUCCCUCUGCCAAAAAAAAGGAAGGAGAAAAUCAAGGAACAAAGGGACCAUGAAAGGAGUUGUGCACUUGUUUAUUUACACUGGCAGACGAGACCUGCCUGAAGACUAGCACCUCUGAGUCCAAGAAGGAAGGGGCUUAGAUACACAGGGCUUCAUUGUGCAUUAGUUUCCUUUUGAUGGAUAUAUCCACCACCUGAAAGUCUUUUCCAUGACAGAUGCAGGUUAGGGUCACUCAUAAAAAUCUGCCCUGUCUUUUUACUGAGAGUCCCUGACUCUCUUAAGAAGAUUUGGGCUAUCUUUCCCCCCAACUUAGCAGAAUGAUGGCAUUGCCACGUGAGGGUAACUUAAAUUUUCAAACUUGACAGCAAAGCAGCAUAACCACAGGCUCCAUCAAGGCCUCCCUCAGCUUUCACUAGAUGCUGUAAGAUUCUCUAUUUUUGUUUUGUUUUGUUUGGAGUGUGUGUGUGUGUGUGUGUUUUAAUACCAGGUAUUUAACCCAGGGACACUUAACCACUGAGACACAAUCCCAGCCCUUUUUAAACUUUGAGAUAUCAUCUUGGUACACUGCUGAGGCUGGCUUUGAACUUGCGAUCUUCCUAUUUCAGCCUCCCCAGCCACUGGGAUUAGAGGUGUGUGCCACUGCACCUGGCUUUUUUCUUGUUUUUUUGAAUAUGAAAACCAGAUCCUGUAGUUCAUGGUCAAAAAGGCAAAAACAAUAGAUGUGAGGGCAGCUGUCACCUGGAUUGGGUGAAGAAGGUGUGGAUUUGCUGUGCUACCACUUGUCCUACUACCAGCUCAAGUUCUUGAACAGAAGCGUUACUCAAUUCAUGGAUACUUGGGAACUUCUGAAGCAGAAGGGAAGCUUUAACUUUUCCAACUCCUGGGAUCUGCUGCACAGUUCGAAGGAGGUAUGGCUCAGACAGCAGAGCCCGUUUUUUCUUGAGGAAAGGGUUCUUACUGGGUUCUUUGGAUUGCUCUUGUACCUGAACCAGAAAUUAAGGGAAAAACACAUGAGUGCCC